CCUAACACAUGCAAGUCGAGCGAUCUUCUUCGGAAGAGAGCGGCGGACGGGUGAGUAACGCGUGGGUAACCUGCCCUGUACACACGGAUAACAUACCGAAAGGUAUGCUAAUACGGGAUAACAUAAGAAAGUCGCAUGGAUUUCUUAUCAAAGCUUUUGCGGUACAGGAUGGACCCGCGUCUGAUUAGCUAGUUGGUAAGGUAACGGCUUACCAAGGCGACGAUCAGUAGCCGACCUGAGAGGGUGAUCGGCCACAUUGGAACUGAGACACGGUCCAAACUCCUACGGGAGGCAGCAGUGGGGAAUAUUGCACAAUGGGCGAAAGCCUGAUGCAGCAACGCCGCGUGAGCGAUGAAGGCCUUCGGGUCGUAAAGCUCUGUCCUCAAGGAAGAUAAUGACGGUACUUGAGGAGGAAGCCCCGGCUAACUACGUGCCAGCAGCCGCGGUAAUACGUAGGGGGCUAGCGUUAUCCGGAAUUACUGGGCGUAAAGGGUGCGUAGGCGGUCUUUCAAGUCAGAAGUGAAAGGCUACGGCUCAACCGUAGUAAGCUUUUGAAACUGUAAGACUUGAGUGCAGGAGAGGAGAGUGGAAUUCCUAGUGUAGCGGUGAAAUGCGUAGAUAUUAGGAGGAACACCAGUUGCGAAGGCGGCUCUCUGGACUGUAACUGACGCUGAGGCACGAAAGCGUGGGGAGCAAACAGG
rnacentral:rRNA from 1 species